GACAGAGGAGCCAAGCGUUGUCCGGACUGACUGGGCGUAAAGGGCACGCAGGCGGUGCGACAAGUGGUGUGUGAAAGCGCUCGGCUUAACCGAGCGAGGCCAGGCCAAACUGUCGGACUGGAGCCAUGCAGAGGGUGGUGGAAUUGCCGGUGUAGUGGUGAAAUGCGUAGAGAUCGGCAGGAACACCAAGGGAGAAAUCAGCCACCUGGGCAUGUGCUGACGCUGAGGUGCGAAAGCGUGGGGAGCGAAC
rnacentral:rRNA from 1 species